GGGUUGUGAGGUUAAGCGACUAAGCGUACACGGUGGAUGCCCUGGCAGUCAGAGGCGAUGAAGGACGUGCUAAUCUGCGAAAAGCGUCGGUAAGGUGAUAUGAACCGUUAUAACCGGCGAUGUCCGAAUGGGGAAACCCAGUGUGAUUCGUCACACUAUCGUUAACUGAAUACAUAGGUUAACGAGGCGAACCGGGGGAACUGAAACAUCUAAGUACCCCGAGGAAAAGAAAUCAACCGAGAUUCCCCCAGUAGCGGCGAGCGAACGGGGAGCAGCCCAGAGUCUGAAUCAGCUUGUGUGUUAGUGGAACGGUCUGGAAAGUCCGACGGUACAGGGUGAUAGUCCCGUACACCAAAAUGCACAGGUUGUGAACUCGAAGAGUAGGGCGGGACACGUGGUAUCCUGUCUGAAUAUGGGGGGACCAUCCUCCAAGGCUAAAUACUCCUGACUGACCGAUAGUGAACCAGUACCGUGAGGGAAAGGCGAAAAGAACCCCGGCGAGGGGAGUGAAAAAGAACCUGAAACCGUGUACGUACAAGCAGUGGGAGCACCUUCGGGUGUGACUGCGUACCUUUUGUAUAAUGGGUCAGCGACUUAUAUUCUGUAGCAAGGUUAACCGUAUAGGGGAGCCGCAGGGAAACCGAGUCUUAACUGGGCGUUAAGUUGCAGGGUAUAGACCCGAAACCCGGUGAUCUAGCCAUGGGCAGGUUGAAGGUUGGGUAACACUAACUGGAGGACCGAACCGACUAAUGUUGAAAAAUUAGCGGAUGACUUGUGGCUGGGGGUGAAAGGCCAAUCAAACCGGGAGAUAGCUGGUUCUCCCCGAAAGCUAUUUAGGUAGCGCCUCGUGAACUCAUCUUCGGGGGUAGAGCACUGUUUCGGCUAGGGGGUCAUCCCGACUUACCAACCCGAUGCAAACUACGAAUACCGAAGAAUGUUAUCACGGGAGACACACGGCGGGUGCUAACGUCCGUCGUGAAGAGGGAAACAACCCAGACCGCCAGCUAAGGUCCCAAAGUCAUGGUUAAGUGGGAAACGAUGUGGGAAGGCACAGACAGCCAGGAUGUUGGCUUAGAAGCAGCCAUCAUUUAAAGAAAGCGUAAUAGCUCACUGGUCGAGUCGGCCUGCGCGGAAGAUGUAACGGGGCUAAACCAUGCACCGAAGCUGCGGCAGCGACACUAUGUGUUGUUGGGUAGGGGAGCGUUCUGUAAGCCUGCGAAGGUGUGCUGUGAGGCAUGCUGGAGGUAUCAGAAGUGCGAAUGCUGACAUAAGUAACGAUAAAGCGGGUGAAAAGCCCGCUCGCCGGAAGACCAAGGGUUCCUGUCCAACGUUAAUCGGGGCAGGGUGAGUCGACCCCUAAGGCGAGGCCGAAAGGCGUAGUCGAUGGGAAACAGGUUAAUAUUCCUGUACUUGGUGUUACUGCGAAGGGGGGACGGAGAAGGCUAUGUUAGCCGGGCGACGGUUGUCCCGGUUUAAGCAUGUAGGCUGGUUAUCCAGGCAAAUCCGGAUAAUCAAGGCUGAGGUGUGAUGACGAGGCACUACGGUGCUGAAGUAACAAAUGCCCUGCUUCCAGGAAAAGCCUCUAAGCAUCAGGUAACAUCAAAUCGUACCCCAAACCGACACAGGUGGUCAGGUAGAGAAUACCAAGGCGCUUGAGAGAACUCGGGUGAAGGAACUAGGCAAAAUGGUGCCGUAACUUCGGGAGAAGGCACGCUGGUGUGUAGGUGAAGCCCCUGCGGGUGGAGCUGAGACCAGUCGAAGAUACCAGCUGGCUGCAACUGUUUAUUAAAAACACAGCACUGUGCAAACACGAAAGUGGACGUAUACGGUGUGACGCCUGCCCGGUGCCGGAAGGUUAAUUGAUGGGGUUAUCCGUAAGGAGAAGCUCUUGAUCGAAGCCCCGGUAAACGGCGGCCGUAACUAUAACGGUCCUAAGGUAGCGAAAUUCCUUGUCGGGUAAGUUCCGACCUGCACGAAUGGCGUAAUGAUGGCCAGGCUGUCUCCACCCGAGACUCAGUGAAAUUGAACUCGCUGUGAAGAUGCAGUGUACCCGCGGCAAGACGGAAAGACCCCGUGAACCUUUACUAUAGCUUGACACUGAACAUUGAGCCUUGAUGUGUAGGAUAGGUGGGAGGCUUUGAAGCGUGGACGCCAGUCUGCGUGGAGCCAACCUUGAAAUACCACCCUUUAAUGUUUGAUGUUCUAACGUUGGCCCCUUACCGGGGUUGCGGACAGUGUCUGGUGGGUAGUUUGACUGGGGCGGUCUCCUCCCAAAGCGUAACGGAGGAGCACGAAGGUUAGCUAAUCCUGGUCGGACAUCAGGAGGUUAGUGCAAUGGCAUAAGCUAGCUUGACUGCGAGCGUGACGGCGCGAGCAGGUGCGAAAGCAGGUCAUAGUGAUCCGGUGGUUCUGAAUGGAAGGGCCAUCGCUCAACGGAUAAAAGGUACUCCGGGGAUAACAGGCUGAUACCGCCCAAGAGUUCAUAUCGACGGCGGUGUUUGGCACCUCGAUGUCGGCUCAUCACAUCCUGGGGCUGAAGUAGGUCCCAAGGGUAUGGCUGUUCGCCAUUUAAAGUGGUACGCGAGCUGGGUUUAGAACGUCGUGAGACAGUUCGGUCCCUAUCUGCCGUGGGCGCUGGAGAAUUGAGGGGGCUGCUCCUAGUACGAGAGGACCGGAGUGGACGCAUCACUGGUGUUCGGGUUGUCAUGCCAAUGGCACUGCCCGGUAGCUAAAUGCGGAAGAGAUAAGUGCUGAAAGCAUCUAAGCACGAAACUUGCCCCGAGAUGAGUUCUCCCUGAGACUUUAAGUCUCCUGAAGGAACGUUAAAGACGAUGACGUUGAUAGGCCGGGUGUGUAAGCGCAGCGAUGCGUUGAGCUAACCGGUACUAAUGAACCGUGAGGCUUAACCUUACAACGCCGAAG
rnacentral:rRNA from 1 species